rnacentral:rRNA from 1 species
ACGAACGCUGGCGGCGUGCUUAACACAUGCAAGUCGAACGGGCCUUGUCCCCUUUUUUUUGGGGGUGGGGUUAGUGGCGAACGGGUGAGUAACACGUGAGUAACCUGCCCCUCACUUCUGGAUAACCGCUUGAAGGGGUGGCUAAUACGGGGUGUUCUGGCCUGCUCGCAUGGGUGGGUUUGGAAAGAUUCGACCGGUUUGGUUGUUUUGGUGGGGGAUGGGCUCGCGGCCUAUCAGCUUGUUGGUGGGGUGAUGGCCUGCCAAGGCUUUGACGGGUAGCCGGCCUGAGAGGGUGGGCGGUCACACUGGGACUGAGACACGGCCCAGACUCCUACGGGAGGCAGCAGUGGGGAAUAUUGCACAAUGGGCGCAAGCCUGAUGCAGCGACGCCGCGUGAGGGAUGGAGGCCUUCGGGUUGGGAACCUCUUUCGCCAGUGAAGAAGGUCCUGCUCUUUGUGGUGGGGUUGACGGUAGCUGGGUUAAUGAAGCGCCGGCUAACUACGUG